ensembl:miRNA
GCUCGGUUGCCGUGGUUUCAGGCCCGGCCAGCCCGCCCGCUAGCUGACAGCGCGACUCAGGUAGGAGGGAAGUAGGUCCGUUGGUCGAUCGGGAACGAGG